GGGGAUGUAGUUUAAUUGGUAGAGUUCUUUUCUGGCAUACAAGAAGCCCUGGGUUCCAUCCCCAGCAUUUCAU
rnacentral:tRNA from 1 species